GUAGGUGAACCUGCGGAAGGAUCAUUUGCGAUACUCUAAAAAAAUUGGGGAGAAGGAAGAGUUGUAACAAGCUUUUUCUUUUCCUCUAAGAGAUUUUGUGGUCUUUAAACCUUUUUUAUUUUGGUUUUUCCUUUUGUCUUGGAGGACAAAGAGAGAAAGUGAGAGUGGAGAGAGAGAGAGUAACAUCUUUUUCUCUAGGCUAUUUAUUUUCCCUCCCUAACUCCAAGCUCCAGAAGGAAUAUACCAGAAA
rnacentral:misc_RNA from 1 species